rnacentral:lncRNA from 1 species
UUUAACCCUUUUAAGCCUGUAAUAUUAACAGUCCGCCUGGUCAUUAUUCUCUUUUUUUAGCUGUAAAUGUGUCAAAAAGUGUCUUUUGUGUGAAAUAUUUUGCCCCUUUCUUCAAGAUAAGUUAAACUUAAAAAUCUCUCAAGUAUUUUACAUUUUUAACAUGUUAUGUAUAGUUAAACUGUGUGAAAUUACAACAAAAACAAAAAACGGAACUGAUUUUUUAGAAAGUUUUGUAUUUGUUAACACUUAAGAUGUACAGGUCCAAAGAUUCUGAGAUGACAAAAACAUUAUUUGAACUAUAAUACAACAACUCAAGCAGUUUUGUUUUCCUGGAACCUUCUUUUCACCUGUUACUGCUUGAAAAAGUCUACUAAUAACCAGGCGUUUUUUUAGGAAUGAAACUCCCUGUAGCAAUUCCUAUCUAAUUGAAGGCAGAGUCCAACUCUACACUCUUCACACUUCCAGGGAGUGCAUUGUUUUCUCCCCUGGCUGUCUCUCUGCCUUUUCUCCAUUGACUGCCCUCUGCUGGUGGGGACAGGAAAGCAGCCUUGAGUGGGGGGUGUGGGGGUCUUGGGCGGUGGAUUGAGUGGCACACCAAGCAGCUCGGCACACAGCUUCUCCUGGAAAGCCUAGUGUGUCAUGAGCUUCCUCUUCUGUGUCACACUGAUUUCUUUGUGGAGGAUAUAGCUGUUUGUUGCAGCUGUAUCCACAAGGUGUUGAAACACAGUCAUGGGCCAUCUUCUGGUCUUCCUGUGGACAGAGUUGGUGCCCAACAUCUGGUCAGAAGUGUCCACCCCUCCCAUGUACUUGUUGGAUGAGGGUCAGGGUAGUGCUGGACGAUAAUUCGAUAACAAUAUAUAUCGAUCGAUAGACGUGUGGUGCGAUAGAAAAAAAACGGGUCGAUAAAAUGUUCGAUAGAAAAACACAGUUUCCCUUUCUUUUUCAUCAUAGCCUAUCAUGUAGCUUUUGCUACAGUCAUUACUUCCUCCCAACCAAUCACAAACGCAGACCCAGGUACGCUAUGGCACCAAGCCCAGCCCCUAUCAAACCACAACAGACAGCACGUGUAUUAGAAAAAAUGAUACAGCAAGGAGAAGCGGAGGACAUUGUCAGUAGUUCACCAGCAUGGCAAUGUUUUGGUUUUUAGAAGUCUGACAAAAAGCGAACAGCGGUCGUUUGCAAAAUUUGCAGAGAAUUAAUAAAAACCAAGUCUGGUAACACAACCAACUUGUUUUACCAUCUAAACCGGUCGCACCCGCAGGAGUACGAGCUGUGUCGGCCGCGCCGCGGCUCCACGUCGUCGUCGGAGGAAUCCUCUGGAACCGCUGCCAGCACCAGCACAAAGCAAGUGAAGCAGACCAAACUGGACUUCGUUUCUUGUCAAAAUACGACAAAGCGCCCGAGCGGCAUAAGGACAUCACCCAUGCAGUAACAUGCUGCAUAGCGAGGGACAUACUGCCAAUAACUACCGUUGAAAAGCCUGGCUUCGACCAGCUUCUAGCCACUCUCGACCCGCGAUAUGAAGUGCCCGGCCGCAAGUAUUUCUCAAACACAGCGCUUCAGUCAUGAAAAUGGGUCAGGGGUUGAAAAGGUGAGAAGAAUGCACCCCUGCAUCCCGUCCACUCAUUAGCUUCUUAAAGUGGAAGAAAAUGAGCUCAUAUUUUACAAAGACGCGAGUAUUUGGAUCAUGGCUACUAGCAGGGGGUGCAUUCGGCAGGGGUGCAUUCUACGACACAACACCGGCGUGGAUAAGUCCUGCUUCUCGUGCUCAGUUUGCGUAUCAAGUCAAUCACAUGAUAAUUAAAAAAAAUAAAUCUCUCGACCCCGGGAGAAAUAUUUCAGUGUUCAGACACCAGGCUGUGGGCAGUUUCUCACACAGUUAAAACUGGUAGUAUGUUAUUCCCACCUAAAGCUAUUCUGUUUAUUUAUAUAUUUGUUUGUUUUGUUUAUUUUCAUCAAAAGACUAUUUAAAUAUUUAUUUAUCAGAUUUUCUGGUCACUUUAGUCUUUAUGUUUGUCAGUAUUUACUGACGUCACUCAGGCCCCUUAAGUUGAUUUCUUUUUUUUUUUAGUUCUUUUUUUAAAAACUUUCAGUUGUGGUAAAAUAAAAAAGGUGGUUGAAUAAAGGUUUGAAUUUGAAUUCAGUGCUUCUGUGUUCUUUAUUAAAAGUAGGUCAUUAAGCAAUAGCAUAAAACAUCCAGGGCUGCAAUUAAAAUAUAUGUUAAAUAAUUAUAAUAAUUAUAUCGAUAAUUAUUGAUAUCGAUCAAUAUGAUUUAUUUUUUAUCGAUAUGCUUUUUUUCUAUAUCGUCCAGGCCUAGGUCAGGGUCUGCCUCUGUCUUCCAGGCCUCCUGCAGUUGUGGUGAAUGACAUGCAGGAGCAUCACCAGCAGCAUCAGGACCACCACUGCUGCUGCUGUGCUGCCUGCGUUGGCCACAGACCAGACUUCGUCCCCGCCUUGUCCUUUUUGAUGGUCCCUCAUCAGAAGAAUCUGUAAAAAUGUAUUGAGGAGAUAAUCAUAAAUAAAAAGUAUUUAUUUACAAAAUAUUAUGAAUUCAAAUAAUGAUAUCAUUAUAUUAGAACUAAAUUUGGGAGUAUGCAUACUAUUUACUUACUGUGUUUGGGAUGGAGACACACCCCCUGCCUCCUCCUGCAUCUCCAUCUUCUCUUCCUCCUCCACAAAUUGAGCUGGAAGUCUCAUCUUUCUUGCAGAUCUCAACAUUUCUGCCUCCACUAUUACAAUCAAUACUAAAGGAACUAGCUAAAAACGGUCGUGCUAAGGCAAGAACACGGCACAAAACACGGCAAAACGACACUCAAAACUUAUAAAAUGAACUCUAACACUAUGAUAAACAACAUUAAAUAUAAUAUAUACAACGAUUAAUAUAAUAUAUACAAAGAUAAACAGCUAAAUUACCUCUAAAACUCCGCUAAAACUCCGCUAAAUCUCCGAUGAAUCUCCCAGAUCUGCACUCUCUCUGCUCCAAAGUCUCCCUCACGUC